rnacentral:rRNA from 1 species
GAUCUUUAUUUUUAUUUUUUAUAAAUUAAAAAGAUUAAAAAGAAUUAUAAUUAAAUUAAAAAUUUUGCUGGGGUGGUAUUAAAAUUUAAAUAACUUUUAUUUUUUAUUACAUAAAUAUAUGAAUAAUUGAUCCAAUUUUAUUGAUUAAAAAAUUAAGUUACCUUAGGGAUAACAGCGUAAUUUUUUUUUAGAGUUCAUAUCGACAAAAAAGAUUGC